rnacentral:rRNA from 1 species
AAACCAGCACCUCAAGUGGUCAGGAUGAUUAUUGGGCCUAAAGCAUCCGUAGCCUGCUCUGUAAGUUUUCGGUUAAAUCUGUACGCUCAACGUACAGGCUGCUGGGAAUACUGCAGAGCUAGGGAGUGGGAGAGGUAGACGGUACUCGGGAGGAAGUGGUAAAAUGCUUUGAUCUCUCGAUGACCACCUGUGGCGAAGGCGGUCUACCAGAACACGUCCGACGGUGAGGGAUGAAAGCUGGGGGAGCAAACCGGAUUAGAAACCCCGGUAGUCC